UACAGAGGUCUCAAGCGUUGUUCGGAUUCAUUGGGCGUAAAGGGUGCGUAGGUGGCCUGGUAAGUCGGAUGUGAAAUCCCGGGGCUCAACCCCGGAACUGCAUUCGAUACUGCUGCGCUAGAGUACUGGAGAGGAGAUUGGAAUUUACGGUGUAGCAGUGAAAUGCGCAGAUAUCAGGAGGAACACCGGCGGCGAAGGCGGCACUCUGGGCCGGUACUGACGCUGAGGAGCGAAAGCGUGGGUAGCAAACAGG
rnacentral:rRNA from 1 species